rfam:Sphaeroforma arctica JP610 cont1.9172, whole genome shotgun sequence.
UCCCGGCUAGCUCAGUUGGUAGAGCGUUUGACUUUUAAACCUAAAGUUCAUCGAAAGGUCGGGGGUUCGAGCCCCCCGCUGGGAA